rnacentral:rRNA from 1 species
AGUGAACGCUGGCGGUAGGCCUAACACAUGCAAGUCGAACGGCAGCACAGUAAGAGCUUGCUCUUACGGGUGGCGAGUGGCGGACGGGUGAGGAAUACAUCGGAAUCUACUUUUUCGUGGGGGAUAACGUAGGGAAACUUACGCUAAUACCGCAUACGACCUACGGGUGAAAGCAGGGGAUCUUCGGACCUUGCGCGAUUGAAUGAGCCGAUGUCGGAUUAGCUAGUUGGCGGGGUAAAGGCCCACCAAGGCGACGAUCCGUAGCUGGUCUGAGAGGAUGAUCAGCAACACUGGAACUGAGAAAGGUCCAGACUCCUACGGGAGGCAGCAGUGGGGAAUAUUGGACAAUGGGCGCAAGCCUGAUCCAGCCAUACCGCGUGGGUGAAGAAGGCCUUCGGGUUGUAAAGCCCUUUUGUUGGGAAAGAAAAGCAGCAGGUUAAUACCCCGCUGUUCUGACGGUACCCAAAGAAUAAGCACCGGCUAACUUCGUG